GACGAACGCUGGCGGCGCGCUUAGCGCAUGCAAGUCGAACGGAAAGGCCUGCUUUCCCUUGUGGAUUGCGGGUACUCGAGUGGCGAACGGGUGAGUAACACGUGAGUGAUCUGCCCCCAACUUGGGUAUAAGCCUGGGAAACUGGGUCUAAUUCCCGAUAGGACUGCAGGGUGGUGCCUGUGGUGGAAAACGAUUUUCUAGUGGUUGGGGAUGAGCUCGCGGCCUAUCAGCUUGUUGGUGGGGUAAUGGCCUACCAAGGCGGCGACGGGUAGCCGGCCUGAGAGGGUGGACGGCCACAUUGGGACUGAGAUACGGCCCAGACUCCUACGGGAGGCAGCAGUGGGGAAUAUUGCACAAUGGGCGGAAGCCUGAUGCAGCGACGCCGCGUGGGGGAUGACGGCCUUCGGGUUGUAAACUCCUUUCGACCGCGAGGAAGCCACCUGGUUGGAAGGGUGGUGACGGUAGUGGUAGAAGAAGCACCGGCUAACUACGUG
rnacentral:rRNA from 1 species